rnacentral:rRNA from 1 species
GACGAACCGAGCGAACGUUGUUCGGAAUCACUGGGCUUAAAGGGCGCGUAGGCGGGCUGCCGCGUCCGGGGUGAAAUCCCACGGCUCAACCGUGGAACUGCCCCGGAUACGGGCGGCCUCGAGGGGGGUAGGGGCAUCUGGAACUGUGAGUGGAGCGGUGAAAUGCGUUGAUAUUCACAGGAACUCCGGUGGCGAAGGCGAGGUGCUGGACCCCACCUGACGCUGAGGCGCGAAAGCCAGGGGAGCAAACGGG